UACAGGGGGGGCAAGCGUUGUUCGGAAUUACUGGGCGUAAAGGGCUUGUAGGCGGCCAACUAAGUCCGACGUGAAAUCCCUAGGCUUAACCUAGGAACUGCGUCGGAUACUGGAUGGCUUGAAUCCGGGAGAGGGAUGCGGAAUUCCAGGUGUAGCGGUGAAAUGCGUAGAUAUCUGGAGGAACACCGGUGGCGAAGGCGGCAUCCUGGACCGGUAUUGACGCUGAGGAGCGAAAGCCAGGGGAGCAAACGGG
rnacentral:rRNA from 1 species